rnacentral:lncRNA from 1 species
GUAUGUCAGGAGGUGGAUGAGUUCAUCUAUGUGGCCAAUGCAGAGACAGGAAGAGGUAACACCAAGACUCCAACACAUUCCUCAUACUUGCUCCUAUUCCUAGGCCCUUGUUGCCAGCCAGAUAAUCUUGUCAAGCAAACUGACUCCUGCGCUCACAGAAUAUGAGCUAUCGCAACAUCAGGCUGGUUCCACCAGGCUACCUUCCAGGACCAGAGCCAGUGAAAGGUGGUGAGGGGGAGGCGUCUCAGAUCCAGGCAUUGGUGGACCCUGCCUAGUGUUCGUCCUCCAGAACCCUCCUGGUCCUGACUUUUGUGUCCAGAGAGGAACCAGACCCAAUCAGAACCACUAGUCCCAGUACUGCUAGAUUAAAGACCAGGAACCCCAGUGUGGAUAUUGCACAGAGGCUCUGCCUGUCCCUGCUACCCAACCUCUGUCUGUCUGUCUGUCUGUCUGUCUGUCUGUCUGUCUGUCUGUCUGUCUGUCUGUCUGUCUGUCUGUCUGUCUGUCUGUCUGUCUGUCUGUCUGCCUGCCUGCCUGCCUGCCUGCCUGCCUGCCUGCCUGCCUGCCUGCCGGAGUGCUCUGGUCUCAGACUGUAGCUAGCUGUCUAAGGAGCCUGUCUGCUGGGGUGCUCUGGUCUCAGGCAGUAGCUAGCUGUCUAAGGAGCCUGUCUGCUGGGGUGCUCUGGUCUUAGACUGUAGCUAGCUGUCAGAGGAUCCUGUCUGCUGGGGUGUUCUGGUCUCAGGCUGUAGCUAGCUGUCCAAGGAACCUGUCUGCUGGGGUGCUGUGGUCUCAGACUGUAGCUAGCUGUCAGAAGUUCCUGUCUGCUGGGGUGCUCUGGUCUCAGGCUGUAGCUAGCUGUCAGAGGAUCCUGUCUGCUGGGGUGCUCUGGUCUCAGACUGUAGCUAGCUGUCAGAGGAUCCUGUCUGCUGGGGUGUUCUGGUCUCAGGCUGUAGCUAGCUGUCCAAGGAUCCUGUCUGCUGGGGUGCUGUGGUCUCAGACUGUAGCUAGCUGUCAGAGGAUCCUGUCUGCUGGGGUGCUCUGGUCUCAGGCUGUAGCUAGCUGUCAGAGGAUCCUGUCUGCUGGGGUGCUCUGGUCUCAGGCUGUAGCUAGCUGUCAGAGGAUCCUGUCUGCUGGGGUGCUGUGGUCUCAGGCUGUAGCUAGCUGUCAGAGGAUCCUGUCUGCUGGGGUGCUGUGGUCUCAGGCUGUUGCUAGCUGUCAGAGGAUCCUGUCUGCUGGGGUGCUGUGGUCACAGGAUCCUGUCUGCUGGGGUGCUGUGGUCUCAGGCUGUAGCUAGCUGUCAGAGGAUCCUCUCUGCUGGGGUGCUGUGGUCUCAGGCUGUAGCUAGCUAUCUAAGGAACUACCUUCAGCACAAAUGCUUCUGAAGGAAUGUUCUACCUCUGAUGUGCCUUGUUUCAAUGAAUCGCAAAAGAAAAAGUCAUUAUUGGGUUAAUAUUAUUUAAUAACCCUGUCAAAAUGUUUUGGUGAAUAAAUUGUGGGUUGUGAAACAAAACAGAAGUGAAGAGAACUACUGUUUAACUGUAGCUACGGUACUUUAAUGAAGAUAAUGAAGGGUUUUGGUUAUGACAUUGUUUUCUUCUACUACUACUGCGUAGUUUAGAAGCAUUUAGAAUCAUAUUGAUGUGACAAGG